rnacentral:rRNA from 1 species
AUUGCACGCUGGCGGCAGGCCUAACACAUGCAAGUCGAACGAGUGGCGGACGGGUGAGUAAUGUCUGGGAAACUGCCUGAUGGAGGGGGAUAACUACUGGAAACGGUAGCUAAUACCGCAUACCAUCGGAUGUGCACAGAUGGGAGUAUCUAGUAGGUGGGGUAACGGCUCACCUAGGCGACGAUCCCUAGCUGGUCUGAGAGGAUGACCAGCCACACUGGAACUGAGACACGGGCCAGACUCCUACGGGAGGCAGCAGUGGGGAAUGUUGCACUAUGGGCGAAAGCCUGAUGCAGCAAUGCCGCGUGUAUGAAGAAGGCCUUCGGGUUGUAAAGUACUUUCAGCGGGGAGGCGUUACCCGAAGAAGAAGCAACGGCUAACUCCGUGCCAGCAGCCGCGGUAAUUC